rnacentral:rRNA from 1 species
AGUGAACGCUGGCGGUAGGCCUAACACAUGCAAGUCGAACGGCAGCACAGUAAGAGCUUGCUCUUACGGGUGGCGAGUGGCGGACGGGUGAGGAAUACAUCGGAAUCUACUUUUUCGUGGGGGAUAACGUAGGGAAACUUACGCUAAUACCGCAUACGACCUACGGGUGAAAGCAGGGGAUCUUCGGACCUUGCGCGAUUGAAUGAGCCGAUGUCGGAUUAGCUAGUUGGCGGGGUAAAGGCCCACCAAGGCGACGAUCCGUAGCUGGUCUGAGAGGAUGAACAGCCACACUGGAACUGAGACACGGUCCAGACUCCUACGGGAGGCAGCAGUGGGGAAUAUUGGACAAUGGGCGCAAGCCUGAUCCAGCAAUACCGCGUGGGUGAAGAAGGCCUUCGGGUUGUAAAGCCCUUUUGUUGGGAAAGAAAAGCAGCAGGUUAAUACCCCGCUGUUCUGACGGUACCCAAAGAAUAAGCACCGGCUAACUUCGUG